GACGAACCGUGCGAACGUUGUUCGGAUUCACUGGGCUUAAAGGGCGCGUAGGCGGGCGGUCAAGUCAGGGGUGAAAUCUUUCGGCUCAACCGGAAAAGUGCCUUUGAUACUGGCCGUCUCGAGGGAGGUAGGGGGAUGCGGAACUUCCGGUGGAGCGGUGAAAUGCGUAGAUAUCGGAAGGAACGCCGGUGGCGAAAGCGGCGUGCUGGACCUCUUCUGACGCUGAGGCGCGAAAGCCAGGGGAGCAAACGGG
rnacentral:rRNA from 1 species